GAUGAAGAACGCAGCGAAAUGCGAUACGUAAUGUGAAUUGCAGAUUUCAGUGAAUCAUCGAAUCUUUGAACGCACAUUGCGCCCGCUAGUAUUCUGGCGGGCAUGCCUGUUCGAGCGUCAUUUCAACCAUCAAGCCCUAGGCUUGCGUUGGAGCCCUGCGGCUGCCGCAGGCUCCCAAAUCCAGUGGCGGGCUCGUCGUCGUACCGAGUGCAGUAAACAUCCUCGCUCAGGGAACGUGACGGGUUCUUGCCGUGAAACCCCCCACAUAUCAAGGUUGACCUCGGAUCAGGUAGGAAUACCCGCUGAACUUAAGCAUAUCAAAAGCGGAGGA
rnacentral:misc_RNA from 1 species